GAUGAACGCUGGCGGCGUGCUUAACACAUGCAAGUCGAACGGAAAGGCCCAAGCUUGCUUGGGUACUCGAGUGGCGAACGGGUGAGUAACACGUGGGUGAUCUGCCCUGCACUUCGGGAUAAGCCUGGGAAACUGGGUCUAAUACCGGAUAGGACGAUGGUUUGGAUGCCAUUGUGGAAAGUUUUUUCGGUGUGGGAUGAGCUCGCGGCCUAUCAGCUUGUUGGUGGGGUAAUGGCCUACCAAGGCGUCGACGGAUAGCCGGCCUGAGAGGGUGUACGGCCACAUUGGGACUGAGAUACGGCCCAGACUCCUACGGGAGGCAGCAGUGGGGAAUAUUGCACAAUGGGCGCAAGCCUGAUGCAGCGACGCCGCGUGGGGGAUGACGGCCUUCGGGUUGUAAACUCCUUUCGCUAGGGACGAAGCGUUUUUGUGACGGUACCUGGAGAAGAAGCACCGGCUAACUACGUG
rnacentral:rRNA from 1 species